rnacentral:lncRNA from 1 species
CUUUCAUUAACCUCCUCUGUGCUUCACACGCUUGCAAACUCUUGGAGGAACAAACCAGUGAGAUCCCUGCUCACCUUGUCUCACCACAGAAGAAAGAACACGUGGCACCUCAGAACACCUUAGGAGGCACUCACCUUUGCCUCUGUUUGCUCUCAGCUCACAGCCGUUGCCUCACUCCACACCACCGUCCACAACCUCCCUGCCUCCCCUGCUGUCUGCCUACAGCCUGGGGAAAAGGAAAGCAAAACAUCCAAU